GACGAACGCUGGCGGCGUGCUUAACACAUGCAAGUCGAACGGAGUGGCGAACGGGUGAGUAACACGUGGGUUACCUGCCCUUCACUUCGGUAUAAGCCUGGGAAACUUGGUCUAAUACCGGAUAGUGUGGGAUGGGCCCGCGGCCUAUCCGCUUGUUGGUGGGGUAAUGGCCUACCACGGCGUCGACGGGUAGCCGGCCUGAGUGGGUGGACGGCCACAUUGGGACUGGGACACGGGCCAGACUCCUACGGGAGGCAGCAGUGGGGAAGAUUGCACAAUGGGCGGAAGCCUGAUGCAGCGACGCCGGGUGGGGGAGGACGGCCUUCGGGGUGUAAAAUCCUUUCACCAGCGACGCGGUAGAUGGAGAAGAAGCACCGGAUAACUACGGGCCAGCAGCCGCGGUAAUAC
rnacentral:rRNA from 1 species